UUUUUUUUUUUUUGUGGAACAAUGAGGCUCUAAUUUGUAAUUGGUUUUGAUUUGGGAGCUUUAUACAUUGGAUCAUAAUAUCGAGCAUGAAUUCUCUAGAAUCCAGGUUGUUAAAGUUUGUAUUUCCAAUGAAGCAAACUAAUAAUUUAUUUCCAUUGUAUCCUUUUGCCUGCAGUGAGAGCUUGUAUGAAGAUGAGGAGUUUGACCAGAGACAGCUAGCUGCACUAGUUGUUUCUAAGGUAGGACCUCAUGUUAUUUUAUACCUUGUCUGUAAGUGUCAUAUUUUGUAUUGCUUAUAUUGACAAUUGCUGCAUAUUAUGUAGGUAUUUUAUUACUUGGGCGAGUUAAAUGAUGCACUGUUGUAUGCACUUGGUGCUGGGCCUCUGUUUGAUGUUUCUGAGGAUUCAGAUUAUGCUCAUGCUCUUCUAGGUGAGGAGUUGUCUUGAGUUCUCUAUCAUUCUGGAUGUUGUUCACAUGAAUUUCUGUUGCUCAUUGUGUUGAAUCGGUGGUUCUUUUCUUUCAGCCAAAGCAUUAGAUGAAUAUGCGAGUUUCAAGACAAGAGCUUCUAAAGCUACCGAGGAAGAAGGAAAUGUGGAUCCUAGAUUAGAGGCCAUAGUGGAGAGGAUGUUGGAGAAGUAUGAUAAGAUCCUACCGUUUGCGCAUAUUCUCUUAUUUAUCAGAUGGAGUAUUCAGCUAACGGUUACUCUUUGCUGUAGGUGUGUUCUUGAUGGGAAAUACCAACAGGCCAUGGGUAUGGCUGUUGAAUGCAGGAGACUGGAUAAACUGGAGGAAGCAAUUGUUCGGUGUGAUAAUAUUCACGGGGCUCUUUCAUAUUGCAUCAACCUUUCUCAUCAAUAUGUUAGUCACCGUGAAUAUCGCUGUGAGGUAGGGGCAUGUUAAAAAUUAUUUGGCAGUAUGGUUGGUUUAUAUUAGUUAAAAAGCAAGUAUUAGUUUAGACUAGAGUAAGCAAAAAUUAACUUUCUUUAUGUGUUGACCAAAUAAUCCACUUUAUUGCCAGGUUCUUCGCUGUCUUGUUAAAAUAUACCAGACUUUGCCGCAUCCAGAUUUUCUGAGCAUCUGCCAGUGCCUUAUGUUUCUGGGUGAGCCUGAAACUGUUGCGAAUAUAUUGGACACACUAAUUUCUGGAAGCAAGGUAUAUGUUUGUUCUUUACUCUGCCCACCACAUUACUUAUGUUUUAGUCUCUGUUGCUUACUUGAGACACUGUGUUCAUUAUACAGGAUGAUGCUCUCCUUGCGUACCAAAUUGCUUUUGAUCUGGUGGAAAAUGAAAAUCAGGCCUUCCUUCUGAACGUGAGGAAUCGCCUGGACUCACAGACUCCUGGUCAGUCCAACCCUGAUAGUGGUUCAGCUUUGCCAGUCGAUCAGACUGUUAACGUGGGUACAACUAGCACAGAACCAGCGGGUGAUGUUCAGAUGGGAAAUGACACUACUACGGCAAAUGGAAAUGCUCACCCAGUGGAUCCAAAUGAGGCAGCGCAUGCUGAUAAGCUUGCAAAACUUAAAGGGAUACUGUCAGGGGAGAAGUCUAUUCAACUUACGCUGCAAUUUUUGUAUAGCCACAACAGGUAUACUUAUUAUGUCCUAAACAUUGAAUGAACCCUGGUCUCUUGCAACUUUUAUAUCUGACAUCACCUUGAUGGGUUUGUUUGUUUGAUAGGUCCGAUCUUCUGAUUCUGAAGACAAUAAAGCAGGCUGUGGAAAUGAGGAACAGUGUUUGCCACAGUGCAACUAUUUGUUCCAAUGCGAUCAUGCAUGCAGGAACAACUGUAGAUACCUUUCUAAGAGAGAAUCUGGUAAGAAAAUAUCUGGUUGUUUUGUUGUCAUGCAGUAUACCUUUUUCCCUCUGUAAUGUCUCAUUUUGGUAUUGUCUUGCAGGAGUGGUUAAGCAGGGCAACUAAUUGGGCUAAAUUCAGUGCAACAGCUGGGCUAGGUGUGAUUCAUAGAGGCCACCUUCAGCAAGGUCGGGCUUUGAUGGCCCCAUACCUACCUCAAAGUGGUGCAGUUGGUGGUGGCAGUCCAUACUCGGAAGGUGGUGCCCUGUAUGCUUUAGGUUUGAUUCAUGCCAACCAUGGUGAAGGAAUCAAACAAUUCCUCCGUGAAAGCCUUCGCAACACCAGUGCAGAGGUGACAUUCCGUUCCUUGUCCUUCUUGUGUAAUGCUAUUUAUAUUGUGUAUAUAUAUUUUUCUUACCUAAAACUAUAUUAUGCAGGUCAUCCAGCAUGGUGCUUGUUUGGGACUUGGGCUUGCAUCUCUGGGGACAGCAGAUGAAGAAGUGUUUGAGGACAUAAAGAAUGUCCUUUACACAGACAGUGCUGUGGCUGGUGAAGCAGCUGGUAUUGGCAUGGGUUUGCUCAUGGUAGGGACAGCCAGUGAGAAGGCCGCUGAGAUGCUCGCUUAUGCACAUGAUACACAGCAUGAAAAGAUUAUCAGGUCAGUGUUGUUUAAUUAUUGUUGUGGUAUUUAUGAAGAUGCAUCCAGCUCUUGUUUCUGACAUCUCUCUCUCUCUCUCUCUCUCUCUCUCUCUCUCUCUCUCUCUCUCUUUGCAGGGGUUUGGCACUUGGCAUCGCAUUGACGGUGUAUGGCAGGGAAGAGGAAGCUGACACCUUGAUCGAACAAAUGACUAGAGAUCAAGAUCCCAUACUACGUUAUGGUGGUAUGUAUGCAUUGGCUCUAGCCUACAGAGGAACUGCGAAUAACAAAGCUAUCCAUCAGCUGCUGCAUUUUGCUGUAUCGGACGUCAGUGAUGAUGUUCGUAGGACUGCAGUUAUGGGUCUUGGAUUUGUUCUAUACAACGAACCUGAGCAGGUAUGUAGCAUUGAAAUGCCUUAAUGUUUAAAUAGAUGCCCUAUAUUCAAAUUUAUUCCCAGGAACAACAUAGGUUCAUUAUGCAUUUAAAACAAUCGCCAGUAGCUUUGAUCUACACCUUACAUCUUCUUAAUAGCUUUGAUCCACGACUUACAUCUUCCGUUCUGAUCAUGCAGACUCCAAGAAUUGUGUCCCUGCUCUCUGAAUCAUACAACCCGCAUGUUCGUUAUGGUGCAGCUUUAGCUGUUGGGAUAUCAUGUGCAGGAACAGGGUUAAGUGAUGCCAUUUCCUUGUUGGAGCCUCUCACGUCGGACGUUGUUGACUUUGUACGCCAGGGGGCUCUAAUUGCCAUGGCAAUGGUCAUGAUCCAGACGAAUGAAUCCUUUGAUUCCCGUGUUGGAACAUUCAGGCGUCAGUUGGAGAAGAUCAUCCUUGACAAGCAUGAGGACACCAUGAGCAAAAUGGGUGCCAUACUUGCUUCUGGUAUUCUGGAUGCUGGUGGUAGGAAUGUCACAAUUAAACUUCUCUCGAGGAACAAGCAUGACAAGCUCACUGCUGUGAUUGGCCUUGCUGUUUUCACCCAGUUCUGGUACUGGUACCCACUCCUAUACUUUAUCAGCUUGGCCUUCUCGCCAACAGCCAUCAUUGGUCUCAACUCGAACCUGGAAGUGCCUAAGUUCGAAUUCCUGUCACAUGCUAAACCGUCCCUCUUUGAGUAUCCGAAGCCGACCACUCAGCAGACUACGACUUCAGCAGUCAAGCUGCCCACAGCCAUUUUGUCAACCUAUGCCAAGGCAAAAUCUAGGGCGAAGAAGGAUGCAGAAAGCAAAGCUGCUAACCAGGAGAAGACAGCAGAAGCAGAAAGCAAAGCUAACCAGGAGAAGUCAACAGCAGAAAGCAAACCUAGCCAGGAGAAAUCAGCGGACACAGAAAGCAAAGCUAAGACAACGGAAGAUGCUUCUGGUUCUACUUCAGGCGAGGCAGCUAAGACACAGGAGAAGGACGGUGAUGCAAUGCAGGUAAGAAUAAGACUUAACUGUAUAUGAUUCGCUUCACUUUUUUCCAUCAUGUGUUCACAUCCAAGAAUUUUACCAGCUCAUAAUUAAGUCAUGCUAGUUACUUCUCUUGCUUUACAACCAUGCUAGUUACUGUACCUGCUUGCUUGAAUAGCUCCCCAUAAUAAAUUACUAAGAUGUCACAGCACAGCUAAGCAUAUCACAACUGUUUUUGAUUUAACAUAAGCCUGCUGAUAGAGCCCUCUGCUGUACCUUGUGUUCGGUAGUGAACUUCUGAUCAUAUCUAGCUGAAGUUUCUUUUUUGGAGUCCUCUGAUAUUCAGUAGUGAACUUGUGAUUCAUAUCCAGCUCAAGUUACUAUUUUUCCUUUUUGGCAUCAUCUCAGUCCAUUUGAUUGAACUCUCUGGCCUCUUACGAAUUUACCCGUCUCUCUCAAUCUUUGUUCCCAGGUUGACGGCGCGGCAGAGAAGAAGGCCCCGGAGCCAGAACCUGCCUUCCAGAUCCUGGCGAACCCAGCCCGCGUCGUACCCGCCCAGGAGAAGUUCAUCAAGUUCAUCGAGGGCAGCCGAUACGUCCCCGUGAGGCCCGCCCCCUGUGGGUUCAUCCUCCUCCGAGACACGCAGCCCAGCGAAGCGGAGGAGCUCGUGCUCACCGACGCCCCCGCAACCGUGGCCACGGGCACCGGCAACAACGCAGCAGCCGCUGCCGCGGGGCAAGGCUCGGCCGCCAUGGCCGUCGACGACGAGCCACAGCCGCCCCAACCUUUCGAGUACUCGGCCUAGGCUCCUGUGAUAGGAUGGAGCGUUGUCUGUACUCACCCACUAGCUAUACGUUGUUGCUUAUUCCUUUUUCAAGAGUGCGAGGGAAUUUGUUGUUUGUUGGAAACUGUGUAGAAUCAUCAUGAGUAGAGAACUCAGACUCUGAACGGGAGUUACAGGAUAUGUGCUCAGCCAUGUUUGCAUCAAGGAAGACGAUUUGAUUUUCAUUUUUAUUUGCAUACAAAGAUAAUUUGUUGCAAUUUUAAUUCAAAACCGCGGGGAGUGCUAGAAAGAGAAUGGCUAAACGACGACUUUUGGAUAUUUGCCAGAACUACAGUACCCUGUCUAUUAAUCAACCGAUUGAUAAAUUUAGUAUGAGCAAUAGGAACCAUACAGUCUGCAUAAAAUUACACAUGUUUGUUGGUCUAAAAAUUCAAAUUGAAAUUUGAGAUACACAUGUAGAAAUAGAAAAGAAAUAUCCAGAUGUGAAUUUCGAGUUUGGAUCUACAGAUAUCUCUGGCGUGCAUAUGCAUAUCUCGUCUCACAUAUAUACACCACCCAAAAAAUUCUCUAACAACCAAGCUAGAUUGUCCAUGUACUUCCUCCGUCCCAAAAUAAGUGGCUCAAGGAAAUACAUGUUUAUGGAUAAUCCCCGCAAAAAAAAUGUUUAUGGUUAUUUAUUUGUAUAUCAGCGUCAAGCGAGCAGCGAGGCCGGAAAUAGCCGCAUGGAUACGUCAAUAACGAACCAAAUAAGGCAGCAGAAAGAACCAAACAUAUACCACGCUAACAAAAAAAAAAAACGUACCGUCAUGCUUCACAUCUUCUAAUCUAAAAAUACACGACCAUCUGUGUUGUGUGGUCGAGAGAAAGGCUACAUAGAACUCGGACGUCAUAACAGGAGCUAGUAACAAACCUCUUAAGUAGUUGUACCAAAAAAUAACUGAUACUACAAACGUAGCGUCGGCUACUUUCUCAACAAUCUUCGCGGCAUGGGACAUAAUUCACACUCCCAACAACCUACGGGCACGACACGAUCCGGAAGGAACGAGCCCUCCAUAGUUUUUGAGCCAACAUCUGCCACCAAUUCCCUUUCUCGUGCCGAGAACAUGGGUGCGAUUCAAAACCAAGUAUCACCGACUACAGUAACUACUGCUGUUCCUUGUUCUUGAGUUCAGUCUCGAUGACCCGUAGCUUCUGAUUGUUCUCCUCGUUGAGGAGCGACAGCCUCUCCAGUGAAGACUUCAUCAGCGACAUCUGGGACUCCGAAACGUGGCCUCUUCCGGCCUUCGGCGCCUGCCAUGGCGCCAUUCCUGCGCCGGCUGCGCCACUGCCCAGGGACGGUUGAGCGAACCGUUUCAUCCUCGCGCUCAGGGCAGCAAUGGAAGUACGCAGUGCGUCCAGCUCCACGUCUG
rnacentral:lncRNA from 1 species